CCCUCCAAUAUCAGGACACCAACCUGUCGCCCAUAGGUGGUGCAGGUGAGGACCUUAGAUCCUCCACGCUGGUUAUUAUAAAAGCUUUCACCUGCUAACACAGGAUGUCCCCCACCCAGGGCCAGUACAAGCCUAUUUUGCGAUGACGGCAAGACCAGCUACUUUCACCCCCCCCCACCCAUGGAAAAGUCACAGACCACAG